UUCUUGACUGCAUCGGAAUUCACAGGAUGAGUGAACUUCUCCAUCCAUUGUUGUAAGUGUCAAAACAUUGCCUGAAAAGGCUCUCCUGACAACAUAUGGACAUUCAUAGCUUGGGGUUCACUUGCCCCUGGAAUCGGGCACGAAAGACAGGACUUUCUUGAGCAUGAGGUCACCUUCUCGGAACACACGAGGCUUGACCUUCUU
rnacentral:lncRNA from 1 species